rnacentral:rRNA from 1 species
GACGUAGGGCGCGAGCGUUGUCCGGAUUUAUUGGGCGUAAAGCGCUCGUAGGCGGCUUGUCGCGUCGAAUGUGAAAUCUCAGGGCUCAACUCUGACAUUGCAUUCGAUACGGGCAGGCUAGAGUUCGGUAGGGGAGACUGGAAUUCCUGGUGUAGCGGUGAAAUGCGCAGAUAUCAGGAGGAACACCGGUGGCGAAGGCGGGUCUCUGGGCCGAUACUGACGCUGAGGAGCGAAAGCGUGGGGAGCGAACAGG